GAUGAACGCUGGCGGCGUGCUUAACACAUGCAAGUCGAACGGAAAGGCUCCUGCUUGCAGGGGUACUCGAGUGGCGAACGGGUGAGUAACACGUGGGUGAUCUGCCCUGCACUUCGGGAUAAGCCUGGGAAACUGGGUCUAAUACCGGAUAGGACCACAUUUUGGAUGGUGUGGUGGAAAGUUUUUCGGUGUGGGAUGAGCUCGCGGCCUAUCAGCUUGUUGGUGGGGUAAUGGCCUACCAAGGCGUCGACGGGUAGCCGGCCUGAGAGGGUGUACGGCCACAUUGGGACUGAGAUAAGGCCCAGACUCCUACGGGAGGCAGCAGUGGGGAAUAUUGCACAAUGGGCGGAAGCCUGAUGCAGCGACGCCGCGUGGGGGAUGACGGCCUUCGGGUUGUAAACUCCUUUCGCUAGGGACGAAGCGCAAGUGACGGUAACUGGAGAAGAAGCACCGGCUAACUACGUG
rnacentral:rRNA from 1 species